AUCCAAGAUAGCGCUCAAGAACAACAAAACAUUCAGAAAAGUAAGAAAUAACCAAAGCAUAUUCUGGAACGAAAAAAAAUUGUUUAAAAUGAUCAAAUUGUUGUAAUUUCAUUGAUUAAUUAAAUAAAAUGGUUUAGAAAUUCUGCA